rnacentral:rRNA from 1 species
GACGAACGCUGGCGGCGUGCUUAACACAUGCAAGUCGAACGGAAAGGCCCUGCUCUUGUGGGGUGCUCGUGUGGCGAAGGGGUGAGUAACACGCGAGUAACCUGCCCUUGUCUGUGGGAUAACAUCAGGAAACUGGGGCUAAUACCGGAUAGGAGCUUCUGCAGCAUGGGGGGGGAAGGAGAGUUUCGGCGGUUGGGGAUGGAAUCGCGGCUUAUGAGCUUGUUGGUGGGGUAGUGAGUUACCAAGGCUUUGACGGGUAGGCGGCAUGGGAGGGUGACCGGCCACAUUGGGACUGAGGUACGGCCCAGACUCCUACGGGAGGCAGCAGUGGGGAAUAUUGCACAAUGGGCGGAAGCGUGAUGCAGAAGCGCCGCGUGCGGGAUGACGGCCUUCGGGUUGUAAACCGCUUUCGCCUGUGACGAAGCGUGAGUGACGGUAAUGAGUAAGGAAGCACCGGCUAACUACGUG